CUACGGGUGGCUCCAGUGAGGAAUAUUGCACAAUGGAGGAAACUCUGAUGCAGCAAUGCCGCGUGGAGGAUGACGCAUUUCGGUGUGUAAACUCCUUUUAUAUGUCAAGAAAAUGACGGUAGCAUAUGAAUAAGCACCGGCUAACUCCGUGCCAGCAGCCGCGGUAUACGGAGGGUGCAAGCGUUACUCGGAAUCACUGGGCGUAAAGGACGCGUAGGCGGGAUAUCAAGUAAGGUGUGAAAUCCUACAGCUUAACUGUAGAACUGCACUUGAAACUGGUAACCUAGAGUAUGGGAGGGGGAGAUGGAAUUAGUGGUGUAGGGGUAAAAUCCGUAGAUAUCACUAGGAAUACCUAAAGCGAAGGCGAUCUCCUGGAACAUAACUGACGCUAAGGCGUGAAAGCGUGGGGAGCAAACAGGAUUAGAUACCCCCGAGUC
rnacentral:rRNA from 1 species